GAAAAAACCCAUCGACACAAAACAGAACUCGAAACCCUCCACUUCUCUAUCUCAACUGAUGAUAAUCAUAAUCAUGUCAAAGAAUUAUGUGAUUCUGAUGCUAGGUUUUAGAGGAUCUAACUCAAUCGCAAAAUCCCCAAAUCCAGUUUUCUGAAAAAAUUGAAAUCUCGGCUGAAAAAUUGAAGUUCCAGAUUUGAACUGAAAAUCCUAAGAGUUGAAUUAGAGGAUUGGGUAAAAAUUGAAGGCCGAGAUUUGAGUUAAAAACCCUAAAAGUUGAAUCAGGGGAUUGGGUUGUCCAUUGGUUGUUGCAUAUGUAGGAGACAAACCCUAGAACUUGGAAUUGCGAAUUUCAGUGUGGUUGUUGGUGGUGGUGAUCCUUGGUGAUGGUGGUGGUGACCUACGCGGAAAUGAAGUAAGAAUCAGAGAUAUAAUCGUUGAAGGUCAAGAAUAACUUUUUCCUGGAAGUCAGGCAUAUGAUUGCCUCCAGUGUCCUUAUGUUGCCGCACUCCCAUUUACUGUCAGGUACAAACAAUUGAAACCAUCCAAAGAACAUUAUUAGACAAAAGAGAACACAUAAUACAGUUCCUGCAAUGGGAUCCGCCAACGCCCCGAGGAAGAGAUCCCGCCUAAGUCCGGCAAAUAUUGAUGCUUCAGUGGAGCUCAACCCGCCCUCUAGCUCCAGACCCCGCAAAAGUCCAAGACUUCUGUAACAGACUCAACGUCAAGCAUUGAUGCAAGCACAAAAUCAAAAAGAUCAGUCGUCUUCCUUUUCAUAUUUGUAAAUCAAUCACAUGGUUGGGUUCCUUUUUUUGUCUGCGAUGGUUGAAACUUUUCAUGGCAAUUUGAGUUUUUGCUAACUGACGUUGAUGCUUUCCUUUCAGUACACCCAAGUAUAUGUAACGUCAAUGUAUUGGUGUUCAGAUUCUUUACUUUCACUGUUAACAUUUGUAUUUCGUCUUUGUUUUCACUUUCUGGACCUUUCUAUGAACCUCCUCUCAAUAUCCAAUAAGAAGAAUAUCUUAGUUUUCACUUUA